rnacentral:sRNA from 1 species
UGAUGAUAUAGGUCUUCAAAGUCAUAUGUUGCCGUGCUAGCACGAAGCAACAUAUGACCUUGAAGACCGAACAAGCAUGAGGAAAAAAGCCGGACGAACAAAGUGAGAAUGGCGAUUUCCGAAUGCUUGCAGGAUUGCGAGAACGAAGAGGAGCAAUCCGAGAUCAUCA